rnacentral:rRNA from 1 species
UACGGGAGGCAGCAGUGGGGAAUAUUGCACAAUGGGCGCAAGCCUGAUGCAGCCAUGCCGCGUGUAUGAAGAAGGCCUUCGGGUUGUAAAGUACUUUCAGUCGUGAGGAAGGUGUUAAGGUUAAUAACCUUAGCAAUUGACGUUAGCGACAGAAGAAGCACCGGCUAACUCCGUGCCAGCAGCCGCGGUAAUACGGAGGGUGCGAGCGUUAAUCGGAAUUACUGGGCGUAAAGGGCACGCAGGCGGUUAAUUAAGUUGGAUGUGAAAUCCCCGGGCUUAACCUGGGAAUGGCAUUCAAGACUGGUUAGCUAGAGUCUUGUAGAGGGGGUAGAAUUCCAUGUGUAGCGGUGAAAUGCGUAGAGAUGUGGGAGGAAUACCGGUGGCGAAGGCGGGCCCCUGGACAAAGACUGACGCUCAUGUGCGAAAGCGUGGGGAGCAAACAGGGAUUAGAUACC